UACAGAGGGUGCAAGCGUUAAUCGGAAUUACUGGGCGUAAAGCGUGCGUAGACGGUUACAUAAGUCGGGUGUGAAAGCCCCGGGCUCAACCUGGGAAUUGCAUUCGAGACUGCGUAGCUAGGGUGCGGAAGAGGGAAGCGGAAUUUCCGGUGUAGCGGUGAAAUGCGUAGAUAUCGGAAGGAACACCAGCGGCGAAAGCGGCUUCCUGGUCCAGCACCGACGUUCAGGCACGAAAGCGUGGGGAGCAAACAGG
rnacentral:rRNA from 1 species